rnacentral:rRNA from 1 species
UGGUGACGAUAGCGAAGAGGUCACACCCGUUCCCAUUCCGAACACGGUAGUUAAGCUCUUCAGCGCCGAUGGUAGUUGGGGGUUUCCCCCUGUGAGAGUAGGACGUCGCCA